AACACAAGUUAUAAAAAAAACAUCUCCAUAUGCAGGUACCAGGGUGACCGUUACUUCCAAAAUGAAGUACUUCUCCUUUGUGUUUAUGCUUGGACUGCUGGCUGCCCUCCUGGCCAUGACUUUCGCCGUUGAAGACGACAAUACAGAGGCACAUGUUCGAGUCCGCCGUUGGUUCGGCUGCCCGGUCAGCGACUUCUGCCACAAGCAUUGUCUGAGCAUUGGCCGCCGGGGAGGAUACUGUGGUGGUCAAUGGAGGACCACUUGCAUCUGCUACAAAAAUUGAAAUGUUCCCUCCGUAACUUUCGAAUAAAAGCAUAGCGCACUUGCGCCCGUAUAC